GACGUGAGGAGGCGAGCGUUGUCCGGAUUCAUUGGGCGUAAAGGGCGCGUAGGCGGCUUAACAAGUCACUUGUGAAAUCUCCGGGCUUAACUCGGAACGGCCAAGUGAAACUGUCAAGCUAGAGUGCAGAAGGGGCAAUCGGAAUUCUUGGUGGUAAGCGGUGAAAUGCGUAGAUAUCAAGAGGAACACCUGAGGUGAAGACGGGUUGCUGGGCUGACACUGACGCUGAGGCGGCGAAAGCCAGGGGAGCAAACGGG
rnacentral:rRNA from 1 species